UUUCUGAUAAAAAUGUUCAGUUUCUGAAUUCCUACUUUUUUUUUUUUUUUUUUUUUUUGCAGCAGGAACAUAUACAAUUUUGCAUAUGCACCUGUAGGGGGCAGCAGCUGCUUAUUUUUGAGAAGGAUUCAUGAAACCUAACAGCUGAAGUGUGUUUAUGCAAAUUCACCCUGUUAUAAAAAAAAAAAACAGCCUCUUGCAGUUUGAAGUUUGUGUCACACGACUGAAUCAAAGAGCAUGAUGAUGGGGCUGAGGGUCACUCAGUACUACAUCUUUGUUAUAAUGUUAACCAAAGGUGUCAAUAGUGAUGAGAUCAGACUGGACCAGUCUCCUGCUGUGGUAAAGAGACCUGGAGAAACUGUGAAGAUCUCCUGUAAGAUAAACGGAUAUUCAAUGACAAGCCACAACAUACACUGGAUCAGACAGAAACCAGGGAAAGCUCUGCAAUGGCUUGGCUGGAUGAGUACAGGCAAUAAUGAUGUAACAAAUGCAGAAUCUGUAAAGAACCAGCUCACUUUAACAGAAGACGUCUCAGCAAGCACACAGUACUUAGAGGCCAAGAGUCUGAGGACAGAGGACACUGCGGUUUAUUACUGCGCCUGAAGUUCUACCGUGACUGAAGCUGAGGAAGCAGCUGUACUAAAACCAGACACACAUUGUAACUGAACUAACUGAAGUUGCUUAACUUAUAAUUGUAACACAGAUGAACACGGUUUGAUUCUAUUUACUGCUCCAAUUAUCUAUAAAUAUACCUGGAUAUAACCCUGAAAUGGGCGUGGCCUGAACUAAUUAUCAGGAAUGAAAACCUAGAUAAACCCUGUUUCUAUGCUCCUGGAAACAUUUGAAAAAGCCACAGGUAGAAAUGGCAGCUCUGUCAGCAUGUUGUGUGACAUCCCAUUCCCAAUACACACUGUAAUACACUCAUCACAGUCUGACUACACAUUGUAAUACACACAUCACAGUCACAAUACACACUGUAAUACACACAUCACAGUCACAAUACACACUGUAAUACACAGAUCACAGUCACAAUACAGACUGCAACACACAACCCAGUCUUCCAUCCCAGUCAUCCCAUUCUCAAUUUAACUCAUUGGACAGAUGAUUGAUUUUUUGGAUUCUGCAAAAGUGAUUCAUAUUUAACAACAAUAUUCUGUGUAUUUUAGGAAUUCUACAGUUUGACUCACUUAUUUUUAUGCAUUUAUGUGUAUCAAAUAAAAUUCAAACCCAAGCAGCAGGAGUGUUAGGGAGCGUUAACUAGUACUACAAAGAGAAUGGUUAGUGACCUGACAAUGCGAAACUUACAGAAAUAGUUUAUUCCUCUUGUCUGUUCCUCUGUGGAUGUUUUUAUAUCUCUAGUGGGUGUGUCAUGCAAACCAAAUCCUGUGUUUGAACCAUUUAUGCUGAAACAUUCAGCCCAACAACAUAGCAGCAGUUUG